rnacentral:rRNA from 1 species
UACAGAGGUCCCAAGCGUUGUUCGGAUUCACUGGGCGUAAAGGGUGCGUAGGUGGCAGGGUAAGUCGGAUGUGAAAUCUCCGAGCUCAACUCGGAAACGGCGUCGGAUACUAUUCGGCUCGAGGGUUGGAGGGGGGACUGGAAUACUUGGUGUAGCAGUGAAAUGCGUAGAUAUCAAGUGGAACACCAGUGGCGAAGGCGAGUCCCUGGACAACUCCUGACGCUGAGGCACGAAAGCUAGGGGAGCAAACAGG